GAUUGUAACCAUGCUGCAAAUGUGGAGACCUCGCCGUAAACCGGAGCAAUCGCGGCGGCGACCCACGAGGGCGUGAGAAAUCAGCUGUUUGUCGACUUUAAGCCACAUGUAAAUGUAAAGACGUCGCCGAGUGUGGGUCUUUUUGUGUGUGUGUGUGUGUGUGCACGUGAAGGCGCACACGUGCACAAAGUGGGGAGGGAGUGAUAUUAAUGCACAACUGUCACGGCGAGCUGAAAAACCCUCUAGGAGGAAGUAAAGACGCCAACAGCAAAGCUAAAUGCAUUAGCGUAGCUGCUAAGUCCAACGAAUGCUAACGACAUUUAUUGUUCGUGAAAUUCACCCGAACUUCUCUGGUUGUUCGGGCCUGCGGAGGGUCAUGGAGUGGCGGUGAGACUCCCAUGAAAGGAAAACUUAUCGUUGUCGUGCGUAGAAAGUUUAUUGCGAAUUAUUUGUAUGGCUAACAUAAAGUAUUUGUGACGUACAGGUGAUGCUGUCACAUGACGCCUUAUUCACAACUGCCCUCAAGAGUGGAUAACUCUGUACAGGUCACCUGUAUGACUCGUACAGACCAGCUGCAGUUGAUGUGGAAAACACCGAACCCGGCCCACACCCUCCCCAGGCCUUCUUCAUGUCAUCCUCCCUUCUUUUCUGGGAAAAUGACGCUGUGCUGUGGUCUCACCAACAAAAGGAAAUGCUUCACUUACCUGAUAAAGUUGUCUUCCCCCUGAGGGAUUAAAUCAUUUUUAGUUGGCUGAUGGUAAACUUACAUUCCUCUUCACUAUACACUUAUGUACGUACAUCACAUUUGAAUGAGUCUCAAGGGAAGAUGCACUGUACGAUGUGCCUUGAACCGGGCACUUUGUAUGUGCCAGGACCACCUAAAAACCCACAAUACUCAUACAAAUACACGUGACUAUGCCUUAAGAUGAAUGACUUUGGCCAAAUUCAUACAUUACAAGGACAUAGCGACUACAGUGUGGCAAUAGAGCACCGAACAACACCAUCAACUGUUCGUCAUAAGUCCAUUUAAUGGACAUUAGCCUUAGGGAUGCUUAACGUUACAUUUUAAACUAGACUCAAAGGAGUGUAAGAUGUUCCUAAAGAUGGAUCUUGAUCUGUGUGCUACUCUCUACGACACUCCAUGGAUCUGGAAAACCCAAACAUGCCCAAUACCCAAACAGGUCAAACCUUAAGACGAAGAAAAUUGGCCAAAUUUACUCGUCGGCGAUCGUUUUGGCAACAACUGAGAUAGAAUUUGCUUUGAGACUCCGCAUGGUGCUUGUCCUACCUAUGUGACCAAUACUUUUGAGUGGACUGGGCAUACGGUCACCGUACGACUGUACGACUGUAGGUCCGACGUGUGUCCGACUUGGUUUAGCUCUAGGGCAUGGGUGUCAGUCAGUCCUCAAGGGCCGGUGUCUUCCAUGUUUUCCAACCAUUGGAGCUCCUUGAUGGGCAAACACCUGAUCCAGGUAAUCAGCAGCAGAUAAGACGGGGUUUCUUGAAAACCAGCAGGAGGUCGGCCCUCGAGGACUGGACACUCCUGCCCAGGGAUACCUCAUGAUACACCCACCAUACACAACAAUGGUGUGUAACUUUUUCAACAAGCCUCAAGGGAAUUGCUCCUCUCUUUGACCCUCCAUGGACACGGACAACUCAAACAUCUGUGGCGUGGUGCAGAGGUACGGUGGUUGACCUCUGAUUGAAAGAUUGCAGGGAAAGACACCAAACCCCACAUUGCCUCUGGUGGAAGGUUGGCGCCGGUGUUCGGCAGCCACCAUUGGUGUGUGAAUGGGUCUGUGACUGUGACUUCGAGGAAGGUAGAAAGGUGCUAAACAAGUAUACGCCGUUUACCAUCUGCAAUACCCGUGUGGGACAAACCUUAAGAUGAAGAACUUGCUAGAGUGUGAAAAACAAGCACUAGUUUGAUUCAAAAAUGAAAGCUUUAUUAGAAGAAAGCGGCGCACAAACAAACAUUUACCUUGUUUGAUGGUUUCCUUCACCUUCUUUUGAACGGAUUAUGCAACAAGCGAGGUAGAAUUUGCUCUGAGACUCCCGGCGCUGCUUGUUCUGCCUCCUUGUGCUGUCACGUUCCAGGAGAAGACACCCAGGAGAGCCGCUCCCCGGGGAACCGGCGGCAACGCGCGCCGGCAGGGCCCAAAAAGUUGCUUGAAUGUCUUGGAUCCACACUCUAUUUGUGUCACAAAUCAAGAAGUGAGCCACUGGAGUAUCCAUCACAUUAACUGUCACACACAGUCUGGAUGGGUUUCAAUCAAACGCCCGGCCAGUAUAACCCGCCCGGGGGCCGCCCAGCCCAUCCACCACCGGCCACUGGGAGCAGGACUGGAGCAAUUUGAGGGCAGCGGAGCGUUCUCGGAUGUCCCGAAAAUGAAUAUCAGACGUGUCACAGGGGCGUACCUAGACGGAGACGAAACGAAGACGGAGCGUUUCUGACACUUCUAUCACUCAGACGCUCCAGUUUGGACGUUCUGGGGUUCAAACACUGAACAUCAAACCCUCGAGAGCAUUAGAAUGAAUCCAAACUCUGUUUUGUUGAUAAAAUAAAACCAAUAAAACAAUGCAGCAAUUAGCAACAUCCUUUUUUUUUUGGUUCUUUGAGACCAACCAGCCGUAUCAGAUGAUUGUCUCGGUCAGGUCUGGUCCUGUUUUUUUGGGACAAAAGAAAAACGCUUUAGAUAUUUUCUGAAUAAAAGACAAAAAUACAUUUAAGUUUU